AGAGUUUGAUCCUGGCUCAGGACGAACGCUGGCGGCGCGCCUAACACAUGCAAGUCGAACGAGCGAGAGAGAGCUUGCUUUCUCGAGCGAGUGGCGAACGGGUGAGUAACGCGUGAGGAACCUGCCUCAAAGAGGGGGACAACAGUUGGAAACGACUGCUAAUACCGCAUAAGCCCACAGCUCGGCAUCGAGCAGAGGGAAAAGGAGCAAUCCGCUUUGAGAUGGCCUCGCGUCCGAUUAGCUAGUUGGUGAGGUAAUGGCCCACCAAGGCGACGAUCGGUAGCCGGACUGAGAGGUUGAACGGCCACAUUGGGACUGAGACACGGCCCAGACUCCUACGGGAGGCAGCAGUGGGGAAUAUUGCACAAUGGGGGAAACCCUGAUGCAGCGACGCCGCGUGGAGGAAGAAGGCCUUCGGAUUGUAAACUCCUGUUGUUGAGGAAGAUAAUGACGGUACUCAACAAGGAAGUGACGGCUAACUACGUGCCAGCAGCCGCGGUAAAACGUAGGUCACAAGCGUUGUCCGGAAUUACUGGGUGUAAAGGGAGCGCAGGCGGGAAGACAAGUUGGAAGUGAAAUCUAUGGGCUCAACCCAUAAACUGCUUUCAAAACUGUUUUUCUUGAGUAGUGCAGAGGUAGGCGGAAUUCCCGGUGUAGCGGUGGAAUGCGUAGAUAUCGGGAGGAACACCAGUGGCGAAGGCGGCCUACUGGGCACCAACUGACGCUGAGGCUCGAAAGUGUGGGUAGCAAACAGGAUUAGAUACCCUGGUAGUCCACACCGUAAACGAUGAUUACUAGGUGUUGGAGGAUUGACCCCUUCAGUGCCGCAGUUAACACAAUAAGUAAUCCACCUGGGGGGUACGACCGCAAGGUUGAAACUCAAAGGAAUUGACGGGGGCCCGCACAAGCAGUGGAGUAUGUGGUUUAAUUCGACGCAACGCGAAGAACCUUACCAAGUCUUGACAUCCUGCGACGGACAUAGAAAUAUGUCUUUCCUUCGGGACGCAGAGACAGGUGGUGCAUGGUUGUCGUCAGCUCGUGUCGUGAGAUGUUGGGUUAAGUCCCGCAACGAGCGCAACCCUUACUGUCAGUUACUACGCAAGAGGACUCUGGCAGGACUGCCGUUGACAAAACGGAGGAAGGUGGGGAUGACGUCAAAUCAUCAUGCCCUUUAUGACUUGGGCUACACACGUACUACAAUGGCGUUAAACAAAGAGAAGCAAGACCGCGAGGUGGAGCAAAACUCAGAAACAACGUCCCAGUUCGGACUGCAGGCUGCAACUCGCCUGCACGAAGUCGGAAUUGCUAGUAAUCGUGGAUCAGCAUGCCACGGUGAAUACGUUCCCGG
rnacentral:rRNA from 1 species